rnacentral:rRNA from 1 species
UACGUAGGGUGCAAGCGUUAAUCGGAAUUACUGGGCGUAAAGCGUGCGCAGGCGGUUUUGUAAGUCUGUCGUGAAAUCCCCGGGCUUAACCUGGGAAUGGCGAUGGAGACUGCAAGGCUAGAGUUUGGCAGAGGGGGGUAGAAUUCCACGUGUAGCAGUGAAAUGCGUAGAGAUGUGGAGGAACACCGAUGGCGAAGGCAGCCCCCUGGGUCAACACUGACGCUCAUGCACGAAAGCGUGGGGAGCAAACAGG